rnacentral:rRNA from 1 species
GACGUAGGGGCCGAGCGUUGUCCGGAAUUACUGGGCGUAAAGCGCGCGCAGGCGGAUUGUCGCAUCAUCGGUGAAAGCCCCCCGCUCAACGGGGGAGGGUCCGGUGAGAUGGGCAGUCUGGAGGCAGGGAGAGGCGAGUGGAAUUCCGGGUGUAGUGGUGAAAUGCGUAGAGAUCCGGAGGAACACCAGUGGCGAAGGCGGCUCGCUGGACCUGACCUGACGCUGAGGCGCGAAGGCGUGGGGAGCGAACGGGAUUAGAAACCCCCGUAGUCC